AAGAUUGAAGAAAUGAGUGCAAUCCCUUUUACGGGUAGUUCCUUAAUUGCUUUAUUACUUAUUUGAUCAUGUCCCGGUGCUUUCCUGGGGUUCAGACGAUGGAUUAAUUCAGUAACCUCUAGAGGAGUGAAAGGUUUAAUGGGGAGAGACAUUUGGAAGGGAGAAUGCAGUAUUGGAGGAACGAGGUUUAAAAACGUUGGAUAGGUAGUUGGCGAACAGGUUGGCUUUUUCUAUAGGGCUUCGUGCCCAUCCGCCUUGCGGACAGUGAAUUGGUGGGAUUAUUUGCGGG
rnacentral:misc_RNA from 1 species